rnacentral:sRNA from 1 species
GGCCUUCGCGGGAUUGCUCGCUCUGGUUGAGGCGCUGGUAGGACUCGCGGACCUGGGAGGAGGUCAGGCCGCCGCUGUAGAUCGGGAUGUUCAGUUCCAGGCCAAUCGUGCGUUCCUCGACAUCCUUGCCGUAGUGCACCAGCGGAUUGGCGGCGCUGUUGGCGAAGCCGAGGGCGUCGUUGUCGCCCUUCUGGUACUGGGCCACGGCAUCGAGGGUCGGCAGGUGCCCGGCCUUGCGCUGGCGGAGGGUUUCCUCGGCGGCGUUGACCGCGUAGUUGCUGGCCAGCAGGCGCAGGUUCUGCUGCACCGCGGUGUCGACCCAGGCCUUGGCGUCGUUCGGCGCCGGCGGCACCACCGGCAGGGUAUGGCGCAUGCCCUCGAUGGCGCUGUAGUCGCGGUUGGUCAGGGUCACCAGGGCCUGGAAGGCAUCGUCCACGCGCUGUUCGGCGAUCAACCGGUUGGCGCGGGCGGUGUCGUAGCUGGCCUGGGCCUCGAGCACGUCGGUCUUGUCGGAAAGGCCCACGUCGAAGCGCUCGUUGGCCUGGUCCAAUUGACGCUUGAAGGCGGCUUCCUCGGCCUUGCUGGUGGCCAGGUUGUCCUGGGCGCGGAGCACCGUGAAGUAGGUCUCGGCGCUGCGCAGGAUCAGGUCCUGCUGGGUCGCGGAGAAUUCCAGCUUGGCCUGGUCGCUGGUUUCCUUGGCGGCCUGCCACUGGAACCAGCGGUCGGCGCGGAACAGCGGCUGGCUGAGGCUGGCCUGGACCACAUGACUGCUGCGUUUGACCGUGGCGGCCGGUUCGUCGAGAGCGAUCCGUGAGUCGCCGAUACGGCCGCCGGCGCCGAGUUGCGGCAGCAGGCCGGCGCGGGCCUGGGGCACCACUUCCUUGCGCGCCAGGUAGUCGGCCUGGGCGGCGGCGAGGUCGGCGUUGUUGUCGACGGCUUCCUUGUAGACGCUGAUCAGGUCGGUCUUGGUCGGCAGCGGGGUCGGCUGGGCGGCCCAGGCGACACCGGUAGCAGCGGCCACGGCGGCCGCCAGGGAGAGUCUGCGCAGCAU